AUGUACCACGCGUACACGCCGGUCUGAGCGCGACGUCCACACCCGCCUGACGAUUGCUCGCUACGUUGUGUUAGCU
rnacentral:sRNA from 2 species